rnacentral:rRNA from 1 species
UUCCAAUUAGGUGAAUCAUAAUAACUUCGCAAAUCUCGGUUUUGCCGAGAUAAAUCAUCCAAGUUUCUGCCCUAUCAUGCUUUCGAUGGUAGUGUAUUGGACUACCAUGGCUCUCACGGGUAACAGGGAAUUAGGGUUCGAUUCUGGAGAAGGAGCCUGAGAAACGGCUACUACAUCUACGGAAGGCAGCAGGCGCGUAAAUUACCCAAUCCUGACUCAGGGAGGUGGUGACAAGAUAUAACAACGCAAUU